rnacentral:lncRNA from 1 species
GGAGAAGAUGAGGAAAGUUGCCCCCACGCCAGAGGCACAGGCUCAAAGGACACAAGAAUGAUAAAAAAAAAAGAAAAGGACACAGACACAGGAGAUGGUACUGGGGUGGCUAGUGAUUGCUGUGUGGGCAGCAAACUGUCAGAUGGAUCAGUUGGAACCAUCGUGGUUGGCAGCAUAGGCACUGGUUUCAGGUGCUCCCAGGGUCGCCUUAUGGGGGAAUUGGCCCACCCUGGUUCUUCAGAAAAUGCACACGCUCUGUUCUAAUCCCAGAAGAACCUCAAGUCCUGAUGGAUCACAUCUCUCCAGCACUCUUGGGGACCUCUAGACAGCACCAGCUCUGCCCCUUGAUACUGGGUGGACAGUCCUCUCUGUUCUGCUCCUGAAGAAUGCAGGGGAGAAGGGAUCGCCUCCAUCUUUCACUCUGGCUGUAUUUAUUCCUACCACCUUCCCCAGAGGACUGUGCCACCUGCAUCAGUCCACCCCUCCAGCCCUC